CCUACGGGAGGCAGCAGUAGGGAAUAUUGCUCAAUGGGGGAAACCCUGAAGCAGCAACGCCGCGUGGAGGAUGAAGGUUUUCGGAUUGUAAACUCCUUUUGUUAGAGAAGAUAGUGACGGUAUCUAACGAAUAAGCACCGGCUAACACCGUGCCAGCAGCCGCGGUAAUACGGAGGGUGCAAGCGUUACUCGGAAUCACUGGGCGUAAAGAGCGCGUAGGCGGGAUAGCAAGUCAGAUGUGAAAUCCUAGGGCUUAACCAUAGAACUGCAUUUGAAACUGUUAUUCUAGAGUAUGGGAGAGGUAGGUGGAAGUCUUGGUGUAGGGGUAAAAUCCGUAGAGAUCAAGAGGAAUACUCAUUGCGAAGGCGACCUGCUAGAACAUAACUGACGCUGAUGCGCGAAAGCGUGGGGAGCAAACAGGAUUAGAUACCCGGGUAGUC
rnacentral:rRNA from 1 species